rnacentral:lncRNA from 1 species
GACCAUUAAAAACGAGCUAUUGGAUCACUAUGAAUGGAGUCCAAUACACACCAGAAGCCAUCUUCACUGAUUGGCCUCUUCGAAAAAUCGGAGUUACUAUUCACUUUAAGUGAUUAGUACAGGUCGCGUAACUUCUCUGUCACGCCCUGAGCUCCGCCAAUUUGGUCGGAUUCGAGCACGCGACAGACGCCGAACGGACAGAGCCUCCCCUGUCCGCCCAAGGCUCCAACAUUAAGUAUAUUACAAGCAAGUCAAACAAGAAUUGCGGAAUAUACAAGGUUUGCACGGGAGCAAACAACAACUACAGUGAAAGCAUCGAAACUAACUAAACAUCCAAUAUACAUGUCAUUUGAUUUCAUUUGAAUCAAACACAAGUAGUCUAUUACAUUCAUUUACAUUCAUUUACAUCACAAUUUUCUUUAACAAAAGGCAAAUUACAUCAUCUUUAUAUUACAUCAUUUUCAGCUUACUGUUUCAACAUACAAAAGUUGAGUACACCGAGUGUAGGGUAUGCCUAUACAAUUCCGAGGCCGCUAUCUACGGCGCGACUCCCUUGCCUCGAUCCUCCGCCGCCUCGCUCGCGUAUGGAUCUGCAGGGUUAGUGGUAAUGAGAACUAGAAGACGUUCCCAGUAGGUUCGGCCGCCGACCACGCCGAUUCGCCCACUAGGUCUAAUUCAGGAUAUGUAUUUCAAUAAAGAAGAAUAACAAACCAACUAAUGCACUUCUAAUACAAUGCCUGCACGAAAGCAAUCACAGAUAGAUAUUCAUAUUCAAAUACAUGAUAAUUAUGCAUGCAUGUCCUUUUCACUUUCCUUUGGCCUUUACCCAAUCAACCUGGGGUGUUCCUGGUUUACGCCAACUCACAGUCCACAUAUCCCGUCUAACGGGGGAGGCACAAGGCACAACCACCCGAAGGAUCUUUGCCGGGCACGUCCACCCGUGGUGCAUUUCUUCUCCGGAGUACACCGCUCGUGGAGGAGCGACCUCACACAAGCCGGAACCAAUACCUGUGAGUAUGAUCCCAUCCUCAAUUUGAGGAGGUAUGGCCAAUCUGUCACAAUUCUCACUGUCUUAAUGCCGAUGAAUGGUUAAUACCUAUUCAUGCACAUACUGUCACUUGCCAACGUCACGGUGGUCCUGAUGCCACAGUACACAUAAUGUCACUUGGGUUAAACCUCGUUUAACUAUUCACUUAUCGAUGUCAAUCGAGUCGUUUAAUGUCCAUGUCACCUUUGUUUACUACGGUCACAGUCAUUUCUUACAUUCACAUGCAUAUAGGGUCUUUCACUUUCCCUUUUCACAUGGUUCUAUAUCACUACAAUGAUCUUAAGCAGAUAAUUGUUACGACCAACACAUGCUGUUCAUUACCCUACAUGCAAGAAUGCUAUAAUACCAAUAAGCUCAAAUGAAAGGACAUAGACAUAGAAAGAGAUCCGGUGUUUCCGGAUAGCACCCCCCACCUUUAUGUGUCACAAGGAUGCCACGGUUCCGAUUCCACGAUUUUUAGACUUGUUCGUCGUGAGCUACGACGAUCUGUACUACUUCAGCUUGUUUUCUUAAUAUCUUCGCGCACGCUCGUCGUAUCGCCGAACCGUGCGCACUGAUGCGUUCGUAGACCUACCAAUUAGGUUAAAAUGAGAUCAAAUCCAAGUUUGAACCUCAAAAUUACAAAACCCUAAAUAUAGGUUCUCCACGAUGUCAUCUUCUCCAAUCAAGCCCCUAGCUUGACAAAACAUGGAGGAAAAUACUCUAAUCCAUCUCCUAGAAGCAUAUUAGAAGGAAAAAUCCAAACCCUAGCUCAAAACCCAUGAGAACUCACCUUGGGAGUUCAAAACCUUCCUUCAAAGCCUUGACCAAGCUUGCUCUUCACCUUGGAGAGCUUCUUCUCCAAGCUUGCUUCUCCAAAUCCCUUCUUGGUCCAAGCCCUAGAGAGAGAGGGAGAGAGAAGAGAAGGAUUUUUAGAAAGAGAGAAGGAAGGUUUGAGAGUGAGAGUGAGAACAAAUGAGUUCUCACUCAUGCCCUAGCCCAUAUAACCCCUCUCAUGCCAUAUUUGCAUUUAAACCCCUCAACUUUUCACUUUUGCAACUAGCCCUUACUGGACAUUUUCGAGCUCGGGGACCGGUCUCUCCCCUUCAGGGAUCGGUUCCCGAGAGCUACUCUACAACCUGUGCAGAAGGGGACCGGUCUCCCCCAGAUGAAACCGGUCUCCGGGGACCGGUCUCCCGCCGAAGGACCGGUUCCCGAGAGCUCGAUUUCCAGGACUUAGUCGAUUUUUCCCCUCUGCUCGGCUGAUCAACGUUCGGGAACCGGUCUCUCACCCAAGGGACCGGUCCCCGAGAGCAAAAUUUCUAGGAUUUCUCCAGAAUUGCAGUUUCACUCUCUCGGGUCCCUUAAUACUUCAUAUAUAGGCUCCAAUGAACUUUUAGCCUAUAGUAACUCAUUCCUUUCCGCGUUCCGCUCAUUUCAACGGAACUCGGCACGACUUACCGUGAUAUAUUACAUUCUCCAUCCUAACUCAUUUUCUCCUGAAACUUGACGAGUGUUUAUGUAAUUAAAUUACACACAAAAACAUCAUCAACACAGAGUUUAGUUACACAGUUAAAUUUUCAGUCCUCACAGAUUAUUCAUGCUCUAUACUACCAU